GAUCUGGCUCAGAUUGAACGCUGGCGGCGUGCUUAACACAUGCAAGUCGCGCGUGAAAGGACUUCGGUCCGAGUAAAGCGGCGCACGGGUGAGUAACGCGUGGAUGAUCUACCCAUGAGUUAGGAAUAACGGCUGGAAACGGUCGCUAAUACCAAAUACGCUCCGAUUUCGAACUUCGGGGGAAAGGUGGCCUCUGCUUGCAAGCUACUGCUCAUGGAUGAGUCCGCGUCCCAUUAGCUAGUUGGUGGGGUAACGGCCCACCAAGGCGACGAUGGGUAGCCGGUCUGAGAGGAUGACCGGCCACACUGGGACUGGAACACGGCCCAGACUCCUACGGGAGGCAGCAGUGGGGAAUAUUGCGCAAUGGGCGAAAGCCUGACGCAGCGACGCCGCGUGAGGGAAUGAAGGUCCUCGGAUCGUAAACCUCUGUCAGGAGGGAAGAACCGCCACGGUGCUAAUCAGCCGUGGUCUGACGGUACCUCCAAAGGAAGCACCGGCUAACUCCGUGCCAGCCGCCGC
rnacentral:rRNA from 1 species